UGCCGUCCGCGCGAGUCAUUACUCCUUUGUUGUCGCAGCGAGUAUCGGAAGACGAUCACUGUUUACGAACAGGUAGCACUAAAUUCGCGCGUACGGCCUCCACGACGGUGAGGACUCGUGGAGUGCCGUAUCGAGACGAUGCGGCGGCUGUUAUCGGAGCAAGUUACUGAGCAUCGUUAUGAUUGUCGAUCGCGUCAACCCGGCGCGCUGUUAAAGACUCGUAAGCGAGGCGGCCGGUAAGGUUAGGUUAGGCCAGACGCUUCGCGCGAUUUAUUCAUCUAAAGUGGGAAUGAAGAUAAUAGUCGGGAAUAAAGCACUGACUCGCGAUAUUUACGAGCGAAGAUCUGUUCUUUAUUCGUGCUUGGAAUCGAGUACAUACAUCUCGCGUCUCGAUCUUCUUUCAAUCUGUAAAUCCGAGCUCGUUGUCAUUCUCGAGUUGAAGGCGAAUUGGAGUAAUCGUCGGAUCGGAAAGCCGUGAUAUAGUGAACGAUGCGCGAGUAUCAUGAAAAAACCAGCAACGAAAGGGUGAGAGAGGAAGAGAAAAAGGAGACUCAGAAGCGAGUGACCGCGGAAUGCUAGUGAGCGAUGCGCAUGAAAAAAAAAACAGGAACAGAAAGGGAGAGAGAGGAACGAAAAAGGAGACUUGAAAGCGAAUGAUAAUGGAGCAGCUGUGGGUGUAAUAUCUGCGGAGUGUCGUUUUCUAUUUAUUAAACGCGCGCGAAUUAAUCACGAAUGAAGUUUUGGCGAGUGAAUUUUCGCGAGUGAGUAUUGUGAGUGAAUUUUCGCGAGUGAGUACCACGAGUGAGUAUAAGUGCAACGGAGGAAACUGAGAGGAGGCAGAGGCCUAGGAGGCAUCGAGCAACGGCGAAGCAACCACGGGUUCAACGUAGUGAUGCAGUUUACAACUCCGCCGCUGCGCAUCGUAUUGAUUUCAAUGUAAUCUACGCAGCAGAUUUACAGGACCUGGGAGAGGCAUCUGGCCCCAGCGGAGCAACCAUGGGUAAUCAUCGUAGCUUCGUGGCUGAGUAAC